rnacentral:rRNA from 1 species
UACGUAGGGGGCUAGCGUUGUUCGGAAUCACUGGGCGUAAAGGGCGCGUAGGCGGCCGAUCAAGUCGGGGGUGAAAGCCUGUGGCUCAACCACAGAAUUGCCUUCGAUACUGUUUGGCUUGAGACCGGAAGAGGUAAGUGGAACUGCGAGUGUAGAGGUGAAAUUCGUAGAUAUUCGCAAGAACACCAGUGGCGAAGGCGGCUUACUGGUCCGGUUCUGACGCUGAGGCGCGAAAGCGUGGGGAGCAAACAGG